GCAGUAGUGAAAGGUUGUUUACCCCAAGUUUAAUGAUUUUGUUAUUGAGUAGCCUGUACCGGGACGGGGUAAAGACAAAGACAGCUGAGUAUGAGAUGAUGUAAUGAGAUGGUAUACAUGAAGGAAUGUAACUGCUAGAAGCGGCUUCGCCAUUAGAGAAGAUGUAGGGUGCUUAAUAAACGCUUGCUGUAAUUAGUAACUUCUGGCGUGUCGGGCGCUCGGUGAGGAGGAGAGCAGCUGGAGGGAGCUGCUUUGGAGACUUCCCAAGUACCUGGAGGAUGGACCAAGACCUCAGGGAGGUGAUGUUAUGACUUGCAAGUGAACUGGAUUUAAAUGAAGGGAAGAAGAGAGAAGGGAAAAGAGGGAGACAAAGUUGGAACACAAAGUUUUGCAAAGUUGAAAGGAAGGAAGGAAGAAAGAAAGAAAGAGAAAAAGGAAGAAAGAAAGAGAAAAAGAAAGAAAGAAAGAAAGAAAGAAAGAAAGAAAGAAAGAAAGAAAGAAAGAGAAAGAAAGAAAGAGAAAAAGGAAGAAAAAGAGAAAAGAAAAGAAAGAAAAAAGAAAAGAAAAUCAGUGGCAGCUGACUGAAGAAUAGACUGGACUAGAACAGGGAGAAAGACUUGAGAUAACAGAAAACUACUGGAGUUUCUUGACUUGGAAGGUUGAGAGUUGGAGGGAUUACAUGGUCAGACCAGUAUUUCAAGAUCAGUUGGACAGCUGAAUGGAGGAUGCACCGGAGGGGAAAACAGGCCAACCAGAAGAUGAGGAAACUUUGGCUGAUUGAAGCUGACACUGACUUAGCAGAGUCACAGAGCUUUGAAGGGCAGCGAGGUGGUGCAGUGGAUAGAGUACCACCCCUGAAGUCAGAAGGCCCUGAGUUCAAAUGUGGCUUCAGACACUUAACAAGUCAGAAGGACCUAAGUUCAAAUCUGGCCUCAGACACUUAACAAUUCCUAGCUGUGUUACUCUGGGUUCUCACUCACACACAGUAUUGCCUUUAAAAUGCAAAUCAAAGCCUGGACAUGAGUUCUCCAAGUAAAGUUGGAAGAGAUCUCUGAAAUCUUCUAGUGCAACCCCUACAGAAAAGGAAACUGAGGACCCAAGAGAUUUUGCCUUGCCCAAAGUCCUCUAAACAACUUCAUAGCAUCAUAGAUUUAGAGAUAGAAGGAAUUGUAGAGGACAUCAUUUUCUACAUGAGGAAACUAGGGCUUUGAAAGAUUAUUUCAUUUGACCAAGGUGACAAAGGCAGUGGAUAGAACAUCCAAGGUAAGAACCAAUAACACUGACUCCAAAUACAAAACCCUCCUGGAAUUGCUAUUUUGGAAGAAAUAUAAUUCAGAAUAAAAUUAUAUGUAUUAAAAAACAGGAAUAGGAAUAAAAAUUGUUAUUUCACUGAUAAAAAUACUCCCUGAUAAAUAAACUCAGUCUAAGAAAGCAAAUAGAUGCUUUCCCUGCCACUCAGUUUUAGGAAGUUGCCUGGAAUACUCAGAGAUUAAGUGACUUGUCCAAGAUCAUUCAUACUUGUCCAGAGUCAUUCUAGAGGUUAAAAAUAUUUUAAACCAACUAAAAAGUCUUCUCAGAAUACUCUGAAAACACAUUUCAGUCAUUUCUUACAGAGCAAUAGUAUUUCAUUAUAUCACAUGCUAAAAUGUGUUUAGCUACUCCUUAAUUAGUCGAAACCCUUUUUUGGGGGAUUUUAACCCCUCUUCAGGAACUGCCCUCCACAGCUGAAAUUUGUUUUGCUUUGAACUAUUUCCUCUCUAUUAUUAUCUUCCCUCUAAACAACCUGUCUCCCAUCCUCAUCUUUCACCCUUGAACUUAGACUAACUUUGAUCCACCAUAAGAGAAUGGCCCUCUCCCAGUGAAGUUGUGCAGCUACUGUGAAUAGUUGCUAUUCUUACCACUUAUAAAAGGCCACAUUGGACCAUUCUAUUGUUGUCUGUUUUUUGUUUUGUUUUGUUUUAGCUGAGCUGUGGAAUAUUCUGGCUUCAAGAGAGAAGCCCAGAGAAACUUCAAUGAUCCCAGUAAGAGAUGAGCAGCAGACUUUAACUGUUGAAAAAAUGAGCUAAUACAAGGUCAUCUUUUAAAAUAUGGAAAGUCAGCUAUCCCAAAGGAAACUGGUUUCUGAACUUCCCUUUUCAUAAUAACCUUCUUAACACCAUAGAUUUAGAGCUAGAAAAGAUUGUAGAAGUCAUCUAAUAAGACAUCAGACACUAGACAUGGCAACUCUUUCCCUUAGAGGUAGAAGGCUCUGAAUAUGGAAUGUUGCAUAUACUACCAGACUGUAUUACUAUGUUAGUUAAUUUUGCUGAGCUGCCUUUUCUCACUUUUAUAUGUUUGUUACAAAGCAUAGUUCAAUAAGAAGGAGAAAGGAUAUAUUUUAAAAUAAAGAUUUAAAAAAUAAAUCAAUAAAACUUUUAAAAAAGGAAAUUGCAGUGAACUAUUUUGAAAGGAACUAAAUAUACAGGUAUUAAAGGAAAACUAGAAAGCAUAUUUCUUAUUACAUAAAAUAAGAUUUAUUUCUAUCCUCUAAAUCUAAAAGUGAAACUAAAAUGAUUAAAAUCUUUAUGGAGAGGGAUGACAGCUUUAAAAGGAGUCUGUGAACCUCAUUCCUUCUAAAUUUCAGGCUUCUAUUUGUAUCCUCUACUUUUGGAAAUAGCCUCUUAAGCUUUCUAGAAGUUUGUCUUAGGUCAUUAAAGAUGUUCCCUUUUCUCAAAAUUGGGAUAUGCUCAUGCAUCUAUUCUCAGGCUAAAAUACAGCAGAGAACCUAUGUACUGAUCUUUUUUCCCUUCAUCUUCCUCCUCCUGAUUCUUCCUUAGAGAGACCUCUUUUCACAUGGAUGUGUUAAAAAAAUGGAAUAGGAACAGGAAUAGGAACAAAAAUUGUUAUUUCAUUGAUAAAAAUACUCCCUGAUAAAUAAAUUUUCACAAUAGAAGGUCACAUUUCCAUAACACCUUUCAAGUUUACAAAAUACUUACUAUUUUCUUAAUUUUGCAGAUGAAGAAGCUGAAUCACAGACUGAACUGUAAGUAGUGAUGCUGGUGCCUCGGGCAAUUAAGUUGAGGGUAGAGGAGAAUCCUGUACAUUGCCCUCUGGUGGGAAAGGAAGAUCAGAGACCGUUAGUCCAAGAGGUUACUUCAGGGAAAGUCUGGUGUGGGGAGCAGAGUGGGGUGGAACUCAUCAUCCUGGAGUAUUGCCACUAGGAAGGAAGUGCUCCAUCUGGCAAUUUCUUAUUUUAAUUAGUUGUUCUUGCUAACUAGACGCUGGGCUUGAUUGUUCCUACAACUGUGAGUAUUGUCUGUACCUUCUAAAUUUCAGUAACCUUAGGCAAAGUCUGGGUCACUCUACCCUAGUUAUAUUUGUAAAGGGUCUAAGUCAUUUGUCCAAGGUCAUAAUCUGUAAGUGUUGGCAAGAUCCAGGUCUAAGGCUUUCUUGAUGCUAUACUCUAUUGCCUUGGUAUAACAUUUAUUAAAUCAGCUGAUUUAAAAUGGAAGUUUUCAUAAUCUAAUGGUUCAUGGUACUCGAUCAGUCCCUCCAGAAGAGAUGGGGACCCUCAAUGAACAAAUAAUAUGCAACUGACUCUGGGCUCUUUUCUGCUACUGAUGUAACAACAACAAGUUUGAUAUUCACUUUAACAUAAGCAAAGGUCAUCCAAACACAGGAAGACAACCAGCCCCAUCCCUUUUCCCUUUCCCCCCUCCCCUUCCUCUCUUUAGUUCUCCUAUCCCCAGAGGGUGGACCCUGCCUUUCCCAAAGGUUUAUUCUCAGAACUCUGGUCUCCCAUAGUCGAACGUGCCACAGAUAUGGGAAUAAAGCUUUCUAGUCAACAGGGAAAACCAAAAAUACAAGCUCAGAUCUUUAAUAAAUUCCUCUUCUCUUUUCCUGACCCAGUUCUUUCUGUCUUUCUGCCAGUCUUGUGGCAGAAAGUCUGCUGUUACUGCAAUUGCUGUUCCAAAUAAAAGUCAAUCCUUCCUGGGAGGAGCCUGAAGGAAGUGGAUUAGAUCUGUCAGCAGACUCUGCACCCAAAAUCUGUAAACGGUUUUUGAGGUUCUCUACAUUUUCUGCCAUCCAUUUGAUCCCAACUGAGACUUCCCCACCCUCAUUCCCCAAAGGCUGGAAAACAGGUUCAUUCAAAAGCCCCAACACGGGGAAUCCCACACAUUGAUAAUGCUAUUGGUUAAUGAGCCAAUUGAAACCUGUAGAAGUGAAUUUUCAAGAAGGAAAUAAAAAUGUUAAAUCCCUGCUAAGAAAAUUAUUGGUAUUUCAUUUCAUUUCAGGAAACCCCAGCAUCUAUAAAUAGAAAGGAAAUACUCAUACUCUUCCCCAUCAUUCUAACCAUAAUAGUGGUAGGAGC
ensembl:lncRNA